UCCCCGUUCUCCUGGGCAGUCUCUCCAGAGUCCUCGGCUUUACCCGGUAGCAACUGGAAGCGAGGGUUGCGCUCGUUGCGGGACUUAACCCAACAUCUCACGACACGAGCUGACGACAGCCAUGCAGCACCUGUGCACGAGUCCCGAAGGAAGCCCCUGGUUUCUCAAGGGUGUCUCGUGUAUGUCAAGCCUAGGUAAGGUUCUUCGCGUUGCGUCGAAUUAAACCACAUGCUCCACUGCUUGUGCGGGCCCCCGUCAAUUCCUUUGAGUUUCAGCCUUGCGGCCGUACUCCCCAGGCGGGGCACUUAAUGCGUUAGCGCCGGCACUCAGAGGGUCGCUCCCCCAAGCACCUAGUGCCCAUCGUUUACGGCGUGGACUAC
rnacentral:misc_RNA from 1 species